AGUGAACGCUGGCGGUAGGCCUAACACAUGCAAGUCGAACGGCAGCACAGUAAGAUCUUGCUCUUACGGGUGGCGAGUGGCGGACGGGUGAGGAAUACAUCGGAAUCUACUUUUUCGUGGGGGAUAACGUAGGGAAACUUACGCUAAUACCGCAUACGACCUACGGGUGAAAGCAGUGGAUCUUCGGACCUUUCGCGAUUGAAUGAGCCGAUGUCGGAUUAGCUAGUUGGCGGGGUAAAGGCCCACCAAGGCGACGAUCCGUAGCUGGUCUGAGAGGAUGAUCAGCCACACUGGAACUGAGACACGGUCCAGACUCCUACGGGAGGCAGCAGUGGGGAAUAUUGGACAAUGGGCGAAAGCCUGAUCCAGCCAUACCGCGUGGGUGAAGAAGGCCUUCGGGUUGUAAAGCCCUUUUGUUGGGAAAGAAAAGCAGCAGGUUAAUACCCCGCUGUUCUGACGGUACCCAAAGAAUAAGCAACGGCUAACUUCGUG
rnacentral:rRNA from 1 species